GACGAACGCUGGCGGCAUGCUUAACACAUGCAAGUCGAACGGAAAGGCCCUGCUUUUGUGGGGUGCUCGAGUGGCGAACGGGUGAGUAACACGUGAGUAACCUGCCCUUGACUUUGGGAUAACUUCAGGAAACUGGGGCUAAUACCGGAUAGGAGCUCCUGCUGCAUGGUGGGGGUUGGACAGUUUCGGCGGUUGGGGAUGGACUCGCGGGUUAUCAGCUUGUUGGUGGGGUAGUGGCUUACCAAGGCUUUGACGGGUAGCCGGCCUGAGAGGGUGACCGGCCACAUUGGGACUGAGAUACGGCCCAGACUGCUACGGGAGGCAGCAGUGGGGAAUAUUGCACAAUGGGCGGAAGCCUGAUGCAGCAACGCCGCGUGCGGGAUGACGGCCUUCGGGUGGUAAACCGCUUUCGCCUGUGACGAAGCGGGAGUGACGGUAAUGGGUAAAGAAGCACCGGCUAACUACGUG
rnacentral:rRNA from 1 species